rnacentral:rRNA from 1 species
GACGAACGCUGGCGGCGUGCUUAACACAUGCAAGUCGAACGGUGAACGAGGGAGCUUGCUCCCUCCGGAUCAGUGGCGAACGGGUGAGUAACACGUGAGCAAUCUGCCCCGAACUCUGGGAUAAGCGUUGGAAACGACGUCUAAUACCGGAUACGACGCGGGAGGGCAUCCUCUCCGCGUGGAAAGAACUUCGGUUCGGGAUGAGCUCGCGGCCUAUCAGCUUGUUGGUGAGGUAACGGCUCACCAAGGCGACGACGGGUAGCCGGCCUGAGAGGGUGACCCGCCACACUGGGACUGAGACACGGCCCAGACUCCUACGGGAGGCAGCAGUGGGGAAUAUUGCACAAUGGGCGCAAGCCUGAUGCAGCAACGCCGCGUGAGGGACGACGGCCUUCGGGUUGUAAACCUCUUUUAGCAGGGAAGAAGCGAAAGUCACGGUACCUGCAGAAAAAGCACCGGCUAACUACGUG